rnacentral:lncRNA from 1 species
AGAUAGGGCUUAGGAAGAACAACCCUACAUUCCCACUGAGUAAGAAGCGGUAUCCUUUUCUUGUUUUGAAAAUUUUAAUAGUUUUUUAAGCUCUCAAGUUUCUAUUAAGAAAGAGAUUCAAACUGCCAGUUUCCAAAUAGGCUAUUUUGCAUGUGAACUUUUACAUUUCAUUGUAUAAUGUUAUACCUGGAUUACAGCAACUUCUUUUGAGAUUUGAUGGGAUAAUCCUUAAAUAUAAUCAGUCAUCUUUUAACAUCUUUCAGCCUACCCCAUUUAUAUUCAGUUUUCAUUUCUAGAGGAGAAACAAACUAUAGUUUUCAAAUAUGUGAAUUCCAGUCAUAGAUUAUGAACUUAAAAAAGUAACUUUUUAUUUAAAGUGGUAUUCUUUUGACUAUCCAGAUAUAUAGCAUCUGUAUUAUUGGGUUUUUUAAUGUACUGUGCUCUUUUUUAGUCUGGAAAGUUUUUAGUUUGUAGGUAAAAUCGUCUUAGAGGGUUGGGACAUCUUAAAUCAAAACGAUUAAAUUUUUAUCAACAUAACUAGGAUGUUUGUGAAAUGUAUUUAGAGAUAGACAGGGGAAGGAAAAUGGGAACUAAUGAAAGAGGCCUACCGCAGGAAGAUCCACAGAUACAAACUGUUUGUAAAUUUCUAUAUUAUCCACAUUACUCUUCCAAACAAGGAUUCAAACAAGUAUACUUUAAAUCUCACAAAUUUUUAUUUUGUAAGUUAUAUUUACCAGAUCAUAGUUGACGAUGAAAGAUGAAAUUCUAAGAUGUUAAAAGGUACAGUGGAAUUAUUUGUCUUUUGAAUGCAGAGUUGGAUUUUUCUAGGGUUCUAAUGUUCUUGGUGUUACACUGGACUUAGACAUUUUUCCGUCAUACACUCAUUUUAAGGAGCUUUGAAAAUGCUUUGGCAUAGUUUAUUUAUUUGUGGUAAGUAGAAUUAGGAAGAAUCAGCAAUAUAGAGUCCUAACAGUAUUUGUGCAUACUGUAUUUAAGUGAUUUUUAUGCCUGUUUACUUUCUGUGAUUCUUAAAUUUUAUAAAUCAAAUACCUUAGCAUACUUCCACUAGAAAUUAAUUUAUAAUUGAUUAUUUAUGCUGGAUGAAGUAGAAGUUUCAUUUUAGUAUUAAUCCACUCAGAUUAACUGAACUUUUAUAUCUACAAUUCAUUAUAUUACAACUUUUUAAAUAGCAUUUAUAACAAAAGAAUUUUGUUUUAUAAAGUAUUUG